GUGGUUCACAGGGGCUUGUUUAGUAGGCCAGACGAGCUUUUACUACCAAUAGCGAUUUAAUAAAAAAAUGACAAAAUGUCAUUGAAUUUCUUGAAUUCCAAAUUUUUAAAAAGUUUAAAGAAGAAAUUUUUAACUGCACAAUAUUGCGCAAUAGAUUUGUAAGAUCUUGACAUUUGCUUAGUGUCAGAAACUCAUAUUACAUGUAUGUCAAAAAUUUGAUCAGAAUCCAAAUUCAGAGCUGUAUCAAGCUUGAAUGUUGUGUCAAUACUCAUGAUACUAGCCCCAACUAUUCAUGGUUCACCCUCAGCGGGUCGUAGAAAGCUGCUCCCUGCAGAGCACCUGGUUCUGUAAUUUUAUAAUCCAAUUCUCUGAAAAUUUUAAUUUGAUAUGACAUUCUUAAAUAAGAUUCCUUAAAGCCCAUGAUUUAUGAAUGUGUUCUUACCAGUCACCCCAGAUUGAGAAACCAGACCAGGAUAUUCAUUUUAUGCCAGGUCACUUGUUUUCACAGUCCUCUAGUCUGGUGUUAUGUAUUGUAGCAUACCUGCCAACUGUCACUAUUUGUGGGGGAUUUCCCCCAUGAAGGCUCCAAAAAAUAAUUUUGAAAGAUCAAUUUUGUCCAUAAUUUUUAACAAAACAAUUAAUUUUAAAAUGGCCAUAGGCUUGUUAAAGUAAGGAGAAGCCAAAAAACAACUUUAAAAUGUAUUUGAAGGCCCCAUUGAAGGUUUUGUAGGACUACAUUGUUUUACACUAUAGCCAUCUUGCACGUAAAACCCCCAUGGGCAUUUUGAAAAGUUGGCAGGUAUGUCUUAGUACAAAUGUAUUACUUAUACAGUUAUAGUUCCGUAACUCUUUCUCCCGAGACCGCCACCUGCCAUGUUUUUAUUCUUGUCAGGACUUUGAUCUUGCCA
rnacentral:lncRNA from 1 species